rnacentral:rRNA from 1 species
GUCCUAGCUGUAAACGAUGGCAACUAGACGCGGGAGGUAUCAACCCCUUCCGUGCCGACGCUAACGCAUUAAGUUGCCCGCCUGGGGAGUACGGCCGCAAGGUUAAAACUCAAAGGAAUUGACGGGGGCCCGCACAAGCGGUGGAGCAUGUGGUUUAAUUCGACGCUACGCGAAAAACCUUACCUGGGCUCGAACGACUGGUUUUAGUCCGAUGGAAACAUUGGAUGAACCGCAAGGUAGCCAGCCGAGGUGCUGCAUGGUUGUCGU